CAGCAUUAUGGGCGGUAGGUAACCUGAUCCCAGAUGUGUUUGUGCUCUUACAAACUCCAUUGCUGUCAUUGUCAAGCUAAACAUUUUAGAGGAGUUGGCAAGAAAACGGAAACGGACUGGCAUCAGGCAAUGUGUAGUAUUCAGACUUGAUAUCUGAGAUCUCCUAACUUUAAUCCCGUUGACAAAGUUUUUAUGUGACAGUCAGUUGUCUCUCCUCUAAACUCUUAACACUAUGGGCUUGUUUCCCAGACAUAGAUUAAGCCUAGUCCUGGACUAAAAAUCUUUUUUUAAUUGAGAAUCUUUAUUGAUGAUUAUAAACUGGACGGUUCGAGGCCUGAAUGCUGAUUGGCUGAAUGCUGUGGUAUAUCGGACCGUAUACCACGGCGACCGGCCCAGGAUUCGAACAGGCGGCCUUUCGGCUACAGGUCUAACUCCUUAACUGCUGGGCUACCUACCACCCAUACUCACAGAAAGUUUACCAACACGUUUGUUUAAACCUAAAAAGGUUCUUCAGCUGCACCAUCGAGAGCAUCCUGACUCAUUGCAUCACCGCCUGGUAUGGCAAAUGCUCGGCCUCCGAUCGCAAGGCACUACAGAGGGUAGUGCAUACGGCCCAGUACAUCAC